rnacentral:rRNA from 1 species
AACGAACGCUGGCGGCAGGCUUAACACAUGCAAGUCGAGCGCCCCGCAAGGGGAGCGGCAGACGGGUGAGUAACGCGUGGGAAUCUACCCAUCUCUACGGAAUAACGCAUGGAAACGUGUGCUAAUACCGUAUACGUCCUUCGGGAGAAAGAUGUAUCGGAGAUGGGUGAGCCCGCGUUGGAUUAGCUAGUUGGUGGGGUAAAGGCCUACCAAGGCGACGAUCCAUAGCUGGUCUGAGCGGAUGCUCAGCCACACUGGGACUGAGACACGGCCCUGACUCCUGCGGGAGGCAGCAUUGGAGAAUAUGGGACAAUGGGCGUAAGCCUGAUCCAGCCAUGCCGCGUGAGUGAUGAAGGCCCUAGGGUUGUAAAGCUCUUUCACCGGUGAAGAUAAUGGCGGUAACCGGAGAAGAAGCCCCGGCUAACUUCGUGCCAGACGCCGCCGUAAUAC